UCUCUAUUAUAGGUGUGCCCUGCCCGGUGAUUUUAAUUUAACGGCCGCAGUACUUUGACUGUGCUAAGGUAGCAUAAUAAUUUGUCUUUUAAUUAAAGACUAGAAUAAAUGGGUGAUUAAUUGAACUCUGUCUUUUAUAUGUUUAUUUAAAUUUACUAAAAAGGUGAAAAUUCCUUUAUAUAAAAUAUAAGACGAGAAGACCCUUAGAGUUUAAAUUUAUAUUUUGUUGGGGCGACAGGAAAAUGGAAAACCUUUUUAAAAAUUAAACUUAUAAAUCAUAUUAAAGUAAUAAAUAAGCUACCUAAGGGAUAACAGCAUAAUUUUUUUUAAAGAUUAUGACCUCGAUGUUGGAUUAAGGACUUGAUAUGGCUAACAGCUAAUUAAGAUUGUUCUGUUCGAAC
rnacentral:rRNA from 1 species